rnacentral:rRNA from 1 species
UACGGAGGGUGCAAGCGUUAAUCGGAAUUACUGGGCGUAAAGCGUGCGCAGGCGGUUUGUUAAGUCUGCUGUGAAAUCCCCGAGCUCAACUUGGGAAUUGCAGUGGAUACUGGCAAGCUGGAGUACGGUAGAGGAAGGUGGAAUUCCCGGUGUAGCAGUGAAAUGCGUAGAGAUCGGGAGGAACACCAGUGGCGAAGGCGGCCUUCUGGACCGCAACUGACGCUGAGGCGCGAAAGCGUGGGGAGCAAACAGG